rnacentral:rRNA from 1 species
ACGGAAGGCAGCAGUGAGGAAUAUUGGUCAAUGGGCGGAAGCCUGAACCAGCCAAGUCGCGUGAAGGAUGAAGGUAUUAUGUAUUGUAAACUUCUUUAGACGUAGAGAAAUAAGAGGGUCGUGACCCUUGAUGCUAGUAUACGUAGAAUAAGGAUCGGCUAACUCCGUGCCAGCAGCCGUGGUAAUACGGAGGAUCCGAGCGUUAUCCGGAUUUAUUGGGUUUAAAGGGUGCGCAGGCGGUCUUUUAAGUCAGUGGUUAAAUCGUGGAGCUUAACUCCAUCCCGCCAUUGAUACUGGAGGACUUGAUUGCGGUUGAGGUUGGCGGAAUUCGCCGUGUAGCGGUGAAAUGCAUAGAUAUGGCGAAGAACUCCGAUUGCGUAGGCAGCUGACCAAGCCGUAAAUGACGCUCAUGCACGAAAGUGCGGGGAUCGAACAGGAUUAGAUACCCUGGUA